GCAAAGGUAAGUUCCUGUGCAGAAGUACCGUUGAAGUUCGGCUUUUAUUUUAAUCUUAUUUGUUGCUUUAAGAUAAAAUGUAUCUUAAUUCAUUCUUGUUGCCUUAUAACGAAUAGUAAGAAUUUGGUAAUAAACGUGCAUGUGUAAGCGUACUUUUUAUGAUACAAACCGUACAAUGCUUGUCAUCCUUGCGUGGUCUUUUCCAACAUUUUGAGAUGCAUGUUAUAAAUUGAUCAAAGUUGAAAAGAGGUAAUGGAAAAAAAAUAACCGAAAACAAAUACAAUUUUGUUAUAUUUUCUAUUUAGACAAGGAAAAAAGUUUUUCUGGACACCAACGAGCAAGACUUAGUAUCAAGUUACAAAACACCGUGUUGAUGUAGUAAGAAAACACAUAAAUGUUGAAAAAGUAAAAAAAAAGGCAAAUUAAAAACUCUGGACUUUCUGAUUACACAUUUUCCCCUUGUAGAGUGUAGUAUAUAGUGUCCGAGAAUCAUGUGGACUCAGAACUGUACCAGUGUCAUUGGUCAACAAGUGUUUACACACGUGGACUCCACUCUCCUCGCCAUCACAGACGGCGCACCAUUAAAACCGAUUCCAUUCGUGGAAAUCAUCCUCAAAGUAUUUUUCUACCUACUUGUUUUCUUACUAGACAUCAUUGGAAAUUCGAUCGUAGUUUUCAUCAUUUAUGCCAACAAGCGCAUGCGUACUUCGGCGAACAUUCUAAUCGUGAAUCUGGCUAUAUCCGACAUUCUGGUUGGCUGUUUCUGUAUGUGGGUUCACCUUGGUAACCAGAUCACACACAAUUGGCCGUUCGGAGCGUUCCUCUGCAAGUUUGAGACCUUUGUACAAGUGGUAGCAGUAAUCUCCAGUGUGGUGACUCUUACCUCCCUGUCCAUAGAAAGAUUCCUUAUUGUGAUGUUUCCAAUGAAAGGCAGACUUUCUAAAAACUUGUUAACCUUCUUAGUAGUCUUCUCCUGGGUCGCUGCCAUAGGAACUAGCGCGCCAAAUUUGAAAGUGAGACAAAAACUCGAAAUCCAAUGGAGGAAUCGUAAAGACGUGUGGUGUGACGAAAUUUGGCCGAGAUUUUACACGGAUACGAGGUGUAAUUCGGACCAGCCCGGACGGAGAAGUUAUUACGUAUUUUUGUCUGUUUUUAUGUACUUUAUCCCUAUCACGGUGAUGAUGUUGGCCUAUGGACUCAUAGGCGUGAGGUUAUUCCGGCGUCAGAUGCCUGGUAACGGGGUCACUGCUGUCAACGACGUGCAUGGCAACGCUAGGAAAAAGGUGAUGAGGAUGUUUGUGGUGGUUCUAACCGCCUUCAUCGUCUGCUGGACUCCACAACAAAUCCUGAUUCUGUACAGAGUGUACAGGGACGAACAAAAACAGGUACAGAGCAUGCGCUUCUUCUGGUAUUGUUUGGUAAAGUGUAAUAUAUCAUACAUGAUUCCUGUUUAUGCACAUUCAAAAAUCGUUGUGUUUUUUUUUUGUAUUAUUAAAUGUAAACACAGUAGACACUGGUGCAAGAAAUAACAGUGUUCAUUGGAAUAUGUAGGGUAUACACAAUCAUUCCAGAUUGAUGUAACAUCAGUUUUUUUUAAAAGGUUUUUUUUUCUAAUAUCCCACAGAAAAGCAAUACGUAUUCGGGUAGGUGAUACAAUUUUAGAAAUGUAACCAAGACUAAGUCUUCUUUUAUAUCAAACUUAGACGAUUUAUUUAAAUGGAUAAAUUAACUACAUGUAUGUGUUUACUAUAACGGUUAGCCGAGGAAUUAAUUUGACCGACCUUGUAGGUUCCGUAUUACCUCAAAGACCUCCAGUAUGCGGCCCUGUUCGUGGCGUACAGUAACAGCGCCAUCAAUCCAAUCAUAUACGCUGGGAUGAGUCAGAAAUUCAGAAAAGGGUUCCACGACGCCAUGGCGGUCCUCAAAGCGUGGCGGCAAAGAAACAAAAUUCAGCCUGCUCUGAGCUGUGGACACACUCUCCCAACUGUACACAAUAACCCAACAACAGAAGAACCCUGUCCCUUUACAUCUUAAUCCGGUCUUACCCCACAACGCAUGCGCAUUGCCAGUCAUCAAGAUAUACUCCCGGAAUGAGUUCCAAAGUGGAUGUUUUCAAUACUGUUUUGCGUUGAAUAAUUUUUUCGAGAUUCAAGGAUUUUUAUAUCGUUAAAUCGUUUUAAACUUGUUGUUAUAAUUGUUUAGCGCUCUUUUGAAAACAUACAAAUAAAACUUUAAUUUGUAUG
rnacentral:misc_RNA from 1 species